UUCGCCUGCGGUUUAUGAGGAUGAGCACCUCCGCAGGAGGUUCGAGCCUCGCGAAGCGAGACAACGUUGCUUUAGCAACGGCCCGCAGGGCGCGCAUCAACGAUGCGCGUAAUCCUCUCUCGCCGACCA
rnacentral:sRNA from 3 species